ensembl:lncRNA
GCGCUCUACACAACCGUAUCAGCUCUUCGCUCAGCUGGUAAAUAACCGGAGGGAAAUAAUCGCCACUUGCUUCUGCAUUAGACUUCAAAUGCAUUUGCCAGAGUUAUCAUAUUUUAAAGAUCUGACUGUAUUGUAUUAUCAUCCUCUCUACUCUUAAGAUCAGGCUUCAGUCAUUUCUUUUUAACAAGCGUAUAGUAAAAGUUUGACUUAUAGGUUUAAAUUCAAUCCCUAAAUUUGACCCUUACAUGCUCUUUUGGUCAAAUGUGACAGCAGCAAAAAUAAUUUAAAUAUCAUUUUUCAGCCUGAAAUUUAAUUAAUUUUUAUAAAGUGGCCCAAAAUGCACAAUUAAAAAAAAAAAAAAAAAAGAAAAAGAAAAAAGUUUAAUACUGUUAUAUAGCUGGCACAAUUUUCUGUAAAUUGAGGCAUGAUGGUGGUUUUAGAGAACUUUCGGGAAUGAUGACACUUGGACAUGAGCACAUAAGGAACAGAACAUACAGGGGUCAAAGGGCACCUUGAGAGAUGGUUGCUGAGUUAGAAAUAGGGCAGCAGAGUGCUACAGUGGUUCAUACGAUCAGCUCAAGGAUUCUGGUUCCAAUCCUGGCAGGAGAGUUUCUGUGUGGAUGUUUGAACCACUUCAGAGUACCUGAAGUGGGUUUCCUCCAGUUUCCUCCCACAACCCAGAAACAAGCAUGUUAAGUUAACAGGUAACUUGAAACUGGGAGGGAGUCUAAGUGGGCAGUAAAACUAGGAAAGCGCAAUAUAAAAGCAAAUACAUUACAUUUACAACUGCAAGCUUAAGUCCCCAUAAUAAAAAAAUUGAACCUCUGACAAAUUAAAAUCACUUUAUUCUGAGUUAAUAGAUAACGAAAGGGAGUUGGGGGAAGUCAUAAGAUCAUAAAUGUGCUUGAUCUGCCAUUUCAGUGAGAGUGGGAACCCACACAUAAACCCACAUAAAGUUUCCUGCCACAGACUGGCCGACAAUAAGCAUGUUUUGUGCUCUGUGAAUUAAUAUUCAUAUUUAUGAUGAAAAACAGGACAUGCUCUCAUGUGAACAUGAACUAUUCCUGCGCUCUGAAACAUUAAUCAGGAUCAAUUGUUCAUUUAUUAAUUUCAGGCUAUGUAUACACUAUAAAUGAUUCUCUAGACACUUGCAGUCUAGAAAGUUGACCCAAACCAUAAACUUUGAGCAGUAUGUAAGCGUUAUUUUACCCUAAUUCUUUGAGUUAUUCUUUGGGGGGGGGGAAGUUUUCAUUUUGGGAAAGUUUUUUUUUUUUUUUAAAUUGUUGUUCAGUUUCAGUUUAGCUGAUUAGUUUCAGCACUAGUUUAGUCUUUAACUCAGGGGCGGUGUGUCCGUGUGAGAUUUAUAGUUGUUAGAUUUGGUAUUACUACACAAACACAACAGUUCGUGACACGUAGACAUCACGGCCUUAUUAAACACGUGCCUCCUGAUAAAUGUAAGGUCAACAAAUUCCCCUAUCAUCCCACAGUGGUGGGGAUAUGGAAAAUAUUAUUAUGUGGAAGGGGAGUUACUUCAUAAUAUCUCCCCAGCAUCACAGAGCGCUCGUGUAUGCAGCAGAGGAAGGGCUCAGCUGAUUGGUGUAUUUCUGGGUUUUUUUGUUUUUUUUUAUCUUAUAAUGUCUUUACACAAUAAAUCACCAUUAAUGAAGACCAACAAAUAGAGUCGUGGUAAAAAGAAAGUACAGCCUCUUUACAUUCUAAGGUUUUGUGCAUCAGAAGCAGUCGUGCAAAACACUGAGCACAUCAUUAAUGUUUCCGGAGGAAUCAACAAGAUAAGAAUCAGCCCGGUGCUGCUAAUCAAAUGAACUUGAUUAACUGAUUAUAAACAUGUGUGAACGCCUCUGUAGAAGCAGAUGUUUUUGUGGUUUGCAUGUUUGGAGCGCUCAGAUGUGUGUUAUCACAAUGCUGAGGAGCAGCAGCUGUUUCCGUCUGGGAAGGUUACUGAAGUCCUUUCCCAAACCAUUAGAAGUCGAUCGUUCUACAGUGAAGAAAAUUAUUCACAAGUGGAAAAAUAUUCAAGACAGCUGCCACAGCCUGAACUGUGCUCAGAUGCAGCUUUGCAAACCUGAGCCGCACUGUUAUGUUUAGCUCUUCUAAACAAGCUUUCUUCUAAUCCACCGGUGUGGAAAUCCAGGCCUCAAAGGACGAU